GAUGAACGCUGGCGGCGUGCCUAAUACAUGCAAGUCGAGCGAACGGACGAGAAGCUUGCUUCUCUGAUGUUAGCGGCGGACGGGUGAGUGACACGUGGAUAACCUACCUAUAAGACUGGGAUAACUUCGGGAAACCGUAGCUAAUACCGGAUAAUAUUUUGAACCGCAUGGUUCAAAAGUGAAAGACGGUCUUGCUGUCACUUAUAGAUGGAUCCGCGCUGCAUUAGCUAGUUGGUAAGGUAACGGCUUACCAAGGCAACGAUGCAUAGCCGACCUGAGAGGGUGAUCGGCCACACUGGAACUGAGACACGGUCCAGACUCCUACGGGAGGCAGCAGUAGGGAAUCUUCCGCAAUGGGCGAAAGCCUGACGGAGCAACGCCGCGUGAGUGAUGAAGGUCUUCGGAUCGUAAAACUCUGUUAUUAGGGAAGAACAUAUGUGUAAGUAACUGUGCACAUCUUGACGGUACCUAAUCAGAAAGCCACGGCUAACUACGUG
rnacentral:rRNA from 1 species